AUUUCCAAUCUCAUUCCAAACCCAGUUCUUCUUCCUCAACUCUGAAACACCCAAACCUAACCUUUGAGAGGGUGACAUUCUCCUUCGUCUGUGCUCGAUCUUCGACUUCCACGACCACACCCCAUCAGUGGGGAGCUAUUCAACUCAAGCUUCUGGAAACAAAGAAAUUCAGAAGGAAAUGAGUGAAAAACCAAGCGUGGUUGUUAGCUUGGACUAGAAGAAGAAGAUCAAGUGUGAGUACUACUUUCAGGGUUUGUUCAUGGGCCUCUACUUUCACUCAAGGAGCAGAUUGAGAAGGUUGCAUGUUGCUGCUUCACUAACAAGGAAGUCGAUGCUCAUAUACCCAAUUACCCCAACUUGCCACCACAGUUAAUUUGUCAGCUUCACAAUGUGACUAUGCAUGACUAGAUUAAAUUACUAAAAGAAACGGUGUUGCAAUUUUAAAGUGUGGCCAAACUUAAAGGUUCUACCAUUAUAGGAAAAAGUGUUUCUUCAUAGCCUUGUGGACUAAGUUGAGGAGAAGAAGGAACCACCAAGAACCGGCCACAGUAAGAGGUUUCACCUUCCCAUUGCAUACCAUGGGCGAGCAUCAUCUGUUGUAAUCUCUGGAACGGACAUUAUUCGACCGAGG